rnacentral:lncRNA from 1 species
AGUGCCUGAUUCUCACAUCUCAGUGAAGCUCAUUCUUGCCUCUUCUUUAUAGAUUCAACAAUUACUUCUGUAGAAUGCCACCUUUAUGAAGGGACCAUGCCGGUUUUUACUGGGAAAAGUAACGAGUAAUCUAAACACAGUGUUACUCCACAUAUACACCAGAGAACAAGAGCUCAGUUCCAUGAAUAGAGCAGACUCCACUAUCUCCAUGAAAUUUUGGGAUGCAAGGUGCUAUGUAAGUGUGAAGCCACUACCAAGUUAUUCUCGUCUUAAUAAAGGACAAGUUGAUUUACUUUGUUACCCCACCAAUAAAAUACCGGAAUAAGACUUG